UAGCACUUGAUACUAGCCGAGCUAUCUGUGUCCUAGCCUUGAUGAAAGGCUUGUGAUACGAUGUGAUAGCUGGGUUUAAAAAGUGCAAUAUUAAAACAAAAGCCAUGAGUCUUUUAAGCCCAGUGUGUAAAGAUACACUCUGAGUUAUAACUCACAGGUACAGCU
rnacentral:snoRNA from 10 species